GCAGGAUGCAGUGGCGCACACCUGUAAUCCCAGCUACCCUGGAGGCUGGGGUAGGAGGAUCACAAGUUCAAGGCCAGCCUCAGCAAUUUUAGCAAGGCCCUAAGCAAUUUAGUGAGACCCUGUCUCAA
rnacentral:sRNA from 1 species